CAAUAGCGUAUAUUUAAGUUGUUGCAGUUAAAAAGCUCGUAGUUGGAUUUCGGGUGGGACGCAGCGGUCUCGCAUUGCGUUUGUACUGCUGCAGCCCUCCUUCUUGCCGGGGGCGGCCUCUCGGACUUCACUGUCUGGGGGUCAGAAUCGGCGAUGUUACUUUGAGUAAAUUAGAGUGUUCAAAGCAAGCUUACGCUCUGAAUAUAAUAGCAUGGGAUAACACGACAGGACUCUGGCCUAUCUUGUUGGUCUAUAGGACCAGAGUAAUGAUUAAGAGGGACAGUCGGGGGCAUUCGUAUUCCGUUGUCAGAGGUGAAAUUCUUGGAUUUACGGAAGACGAACAUCUGCGAAAGCAUUUGCCAAGGAUGUUUUCAUUGA
rnacentral:rRNA from 1 species